AACGAACGCUGGCGGCAUGCCUAACACAUGCAAGUCGAACGAAGGCUUCGGCCUUAGUGGCGCACGGGUGCGUAACGCGUGGGAAUCUGCCCCCCGGUUCGGAAUAACAGUUAGAAAUGACUGCUAAUACCCGAUGAUGACUUCGGUCCAAAGAUUUAUCGCCGAGGGAUGAGCCCGCGUAAGAGUAGGUAGUUGGUGGGGUAAAGGCCUACCAAGCCGACGAUCUUUAGCUGGUCUGAGAGGAUGAUCAGCCACACUGGGACUGAGACACGGCCCAGACUCCUACGGGAGGCAGCAGUGGGGAAUAUUGGACAAUGGGCGAAAGCCUGAUCCAGCAAUGCCGCGUGAGUGAUGAAGGCCUUAGGGUUGUAAAGCUCUUUUACCAGGGAUGAUAAUGACAGUACCUGGAGAAUAAGCUCCGGCUAACUCCGUGCCAGCCGCCGCUGUAA
rnacentral:rRNA from 1 species